rnacentral:rRNA from 1 species
UACGAAGGGGGCUAGCGUUACUCGGAUUGACUGGGCGUAAAGGGCGCGUAGGCGGUUUGUACAGUCAGACGUGAAAUUCCUGGGCUCAACCUGGGGGCUGCGUUUGAUACGUGCGGACUUGAGUUCGGAAGAGGGUCGUGGAAUUCCCAGUGUAGAGGUGAAAUUCGUAGAUAUUGGGAAGAACACCGGUGGCGAAGGCGGCGACCUGGUCCGAUACUGACGCUGAGGCGCGAGAGCGUGGGGAGCAAACAGG